rnacentral:rRNA from 1 species
UACAGAGGAUGCAAGCGUUAUCCGGAAUGAUUGGGCGUAAAGCGUCUGUAGGUGGCUUUUUAAGUCCGCCGUCAAAUCCCAGGGCUCAACUCUGGACAGGCGGUGGAAACUACCAAGCUGGAGUACGGUAGGGGCAGAGGGAAUUUCCGGUGGAGCGGUGAAAUGCGUAGAGAUCGGGAGGAACACCAGUGGCGAAGGCGGCUCGCUGGGCCGGACCUGACGCUGAGACGCGAAGGCGUGGGGAGCGAACGGG